UGCAUUGUGGCUCAGUGGUAGAGCGCUCUCCUAGUACGUGCGAGGCCCUGGGUUCAAUCCUCAGCACCAUAUAA
rnacentral:tRNA from 1 species